UACGUAGGUGGCGAGCGUUGUCCGGAAUUAUUGGGCGUAAAGCGCGCGUAGGCGGCUUGUCAGGUCCGACGUGAAAUCCCGGGGCUCAACCCCGGACGUGCGUCGGAAACCGGCUUGCUUGAGUCUGGGAGAGGGAAGUGGAAUUCCUGGUGUAGCGGUGAAAUGCGCAGAUAUCAGGAGGAACACCGGUAGCGAAGGCUGCUUCCUGGAACAGUACUGACGCUGAGGCGCGAAAGCUAGGGGAGCGAACAGGAUUAGAAACCCGGUAGUCC
rnacentral:rRNA from 1 species